rnacentral:rRNA from 1 species
UCCUGGCCCUAAACGAUGUCCACUAGGUCGAAGGUUCUCUGACGGAGUUUCGGCCGAAACAAAAGCGUUAAGUGGACCGCCUGGGGAGUACGGUCGCAAGGCUAAAACUCAAAGGAAUUGGCGGGGGCUCACACAAGCGGUGGAGCAUGUUGCUUAAUUCGAUGCAACGCGAAGAACCUUAUCCUGGGCUUGACAUGCAGCAAUACCUCCCUGGAAACAGGGUUGGUUGCCCUUCGGGGUGAAAUCUGCACAGG